rnacentral:tRNA from 1 species
GCGGCUGUGGUGGAAUGGCAGACACGCUACUUUGAGGUGGUAGUGAGAUUUUCUCGUGUGGGUUCAACUCCCACCAGCCGCACCA